CAACUGGGAGGAGCUUGCCGCUGCUCUGGCUACAGGACUCCUCAGGUGGUGGCGCUGGCAGUCGGGCUACGGAGGCCGGGUUACCAGAUUACGGGAAAGUAUUUAAGAAGCUUAUGGCAUAAUAUGCAUCAAAGUAAUAUAAGAUCUGCGGGAAGUCCCUCAAGAUAGCUGGAAAAGAAGAAUUUCUAGACUCUUCAUCAAUAUCUUCAUUUGCCUAGUUAUAUCCAAGGCUCCUGUGGUAAAAUCAUGAAUAAAAAUACAUCUGCUAUGGUAUCAUCCAAUCUACUUGAAAAGGAUCCUGCCUUUCAGAUGAUUACAGUUACCAAGGAAACAGGCCUUGGUCUGAAGAUCCUAGGAGGAAUUAACCAGAAUGAAGGUCCCUUGGUAUAUAUUCAGGAAAUCAUUCCUGGAGGAGACUGUUAUAAGGAUGGACGUUUGAAGCCAGGAGAUCAACUUGUCUCAAUAAACAAGGAAUCUAUGAUUGGUGUAUCCUUUGAAGAAGCAAAAAGCAUAAUUACCAGAGCCAAGUUGAGGUCAGAAUCUGUUUGGGAGAUAAUGUUCAUAAGACAAAAAUCUGAUGGCAGUCAUCCAGGAAAUCCAUCUUGUACAUCUCUUUUACAAGCUUCCGGAGAAUAUGGACCUCAAGUCUCAACAUUUAGCCUUCUUCCAUCUCCCCCUGAAACACUGAUUCCAAAGACCUCAUCUACUCCCCAAACUACAGAUACCAUUUUACCUUCUUUUAGGAUAAAUCAGAUGAAAACUGGAUACAAGAAAACAGAACAGACUCCAAUUACUUCUUCGGGAAACAGCCCUACGGAUAUGUCUAAUACAGAUAUUGCCCCUGCAUGGACUGAUAAUUAUGGACUACAAGGAAAGAAGAUUUCCCUAAAUCCCUCUGUUCGCCUCAAGGCAGAGAAACUGGAAAUGGCUCUAGAUUAUCUUGGAAUUCAGCCCACAAAGGAACAACAUCAAGCCCUGAGACAGCAAGUGCAAGUAGACCCUAAGGGAACAGUGUCUUUUGGAGAUUUUGUCCAGGUUGCCAGAAACUUGUUUUGCUUGCAGUUGGAUGAAGUGAAUGUCAGUGCACGUGAAAUUUCCAGCGUAUUAGAUUCACAGCUUCUUCCCUGUGAUUCCUUAGAGGCAGAUGAAAUAGAAAGGCUUAAGCGUGAAAGAAAUGAUGCCUUAGAGGAAGUGAAUACGCUCAAGGAAAAGUUACUUGAAUCAGAAAGGCAAAAGAAACAAUUGGCAGAAGAACUCCAGAAUGUGAAACAAGAAGCCAAAGCUGUGGUUGAAGAAACCAGAGCCCUGCGAAGUCGAAUCCACCUUGCCGAGGCUGCACAGCGCCAGGCACACGGGAUGGAAAUGGACUACGAAGAAGUGAUCCAUCUGUUAGAGGCCGAGAUCACCGAUCUAAAGGCUCAGCUUGCUGAUUAUUCGGACCAAAAUAAAGAAAGUGUUCAGGAGUUAAAAAAGAGAAUUACAGUACUCGACUGCCAAUUGCGAAAAUCAGAAAUGGCUCGAAAAACUUUUGAGGCAUCCACUGAAAAGCUUCUUCAUUUUGUAGAGACUAUUCAAGAAUUAUUUUUUGAUAAUACUUCUCCUUUAUCAAAUUUAAGUGAGAGAAGAGCCAUGUUAGCUUCUCAGACGUCUCUUGCACCACUGGGAAGGAAUGGACGUAACAUCCCAGCAACGCUGGCUCUUGAAUCUAAGGAACUUGUUAAAUCUGUUCGGGCCAUACUUGACAUGGAUUAUCUACCUUAUGGGUGGGAGGAAGCUUACACAGCAGAUGGAAUCAAGUACUUCAUCAAAGCCAGAUCUGUAGGAUUCUUCCUUUGGACCUAGUGCCUGGUGCAGGACAUCGCCCAAAAACAUCAGAUGUGAGUUCUUGUCCUGUGGAGAUCAGAAGUCAGCUGCCUUGGAGGCAUACCUGAUUCUCCCCUUGUGGAGUGAGCUCAUUAGACUGGAAGAAGAAGGGAAGGAACCCCCUAGGUUUUUACAAAAGUAAAACUUCGCUGAAUACAAAGAUAUACCCAUUGCAGAAAAUUUGGAGAAGACAGAUAAGCAUAAAGGAAAGAAGCAUUUUCAUCAGGUGAGAUGUUCCCACAGCUUCCGAUGAAGCUGCCACCGUGAAAGGGAAGUCCGCUUAACCACAGGCCUGAUAAACAAGGAGAGGCAGAAGAGGCCACACCCUGACCCUGCUGUUCUUGGAGUCUAAGCUAUCUCUGGACAUUUCAGUUGUUUGAGACAAAUACAUCCCAUCUGUUACUUCAGUUACUGGAGCUGCAUAUGGAAUUCGUGCUCGCUGGACACCAGGAAAGAACAUCCAAGGAGAGUAAAAGAGGAAACAUUACUCAAAACAUAGAAAAACAAAGAAUUUCCUGCUUCCUUCAGAAGUCCAGCUCUUGGAGGAGUGGAACAAGUGGAACUCGGUGGAGUCCAGCAGAACUGGGUCAACUCGCAGCAACUCUUGCCACAACUGGUCGCCCUGUGUAACUGCUGUUACCCGUUCUGAGCUUCAGGACUCUGACCUGGAGAGGGUAGGAGUCACACUCAUGGGGCUUGUGGCUCUGAGGUUUGGAGUAGAGAUGGUACAUGUAAUAUAAUAGGCUAUAACAGGCAUCCUCGAGUGCUUCCUGGCAUCAUCGUUAUUCUCUCCUUGGGAACAAAAAUAGGUACAAGAAGCAAGAACUUGGUUUUUCUUCAUUGUUUCCUCUUAAUGAGAAAACUCAAAAGGAGUUAGACUAAAUUUAGAAAGCUCUUAAUUUGCCCAUUGGUAAAUAACAAUAUGCUGACUUGGAAGUGGCCACUUCUCUAGAGGUGAAGCACAAAAUGUGUUCAAAUACUAAGGCAAAUGUGAUCAUCUCAAGGGGAAAAAAGAAAGAAGCCGUUAAACUUCCUUUGAACUGCCCAUGAGCUGUGACUUAAUAGCUUUCCUUGAAAAACAGUGAAAACUCAUACUCCCUGGAGUUGACCUGCUGCUACAAUUUGGCACCAUCUUUUUCGGUACGGGGGACCUGGAUUCCAACAGGGUAGUAGGACUUAUAAGACCUCAAUUCUUACAGAAUCUAAGAUGAGUAAACUACAGAGCAGGUGGCUGUAAACUGUCUGUUAGUUGUUGUGAGGGAAGGCAAAAGAAAAUU